UUAAUUUGGUGUUGCAGGGAAACAGGACUGUUACUUUGAAAAAAUUAGAGUGUUUAAAGCAGGCUAACGCUUGAAUACAUUAGCAUGGAAUAAUGAAAUAGGACGUUUGAUCCUAUUUUGUUGGUUUCUAGGAUUGACGUAAUGAUUAAUAGGGAUAGUUGGGGGCAUUAGUAUUCAAUUGUCAAAGGUGAAAUUCUUGGAUUUAUUGAAAACUGACUACGGCGAAAGCAUUUGCCAAGGAUGUUUUCAUUAAUCAAAAACGAAAGUUAGGGAAUCGAAAACAAUCAAAUACCGUCGUAUUCUUAACCAUAACCUAUCCCGACAAGGGAUCGAAUGAUGUUAAUUUUUUAGGGACCCCCCCUCCCCCCCCUA
rnacentral:rRNA from 1 species